UACGGAGGGAGCUAGCGUUGUUCGGAAUUACUGGGCGUAAAGCGCGCGUAGGCGGCUUUGUAAGUUAGAGGUGAAAGCCCGGGGCUCAACCCCGGAACUGCCUUUAAGAUUGCAUCGCUUGAAUCCAGGAGAGGUGAGUGGAAUUCCGAGUGUAGAGGUGAAAUUCGUAGAUAUUACGGAAGAACACCAGUGGCGAAGGCGCUCACUGGACUGGUAUUGACGCUGAUGUGCGAAAGCCAGGGGAGCAAACGGGG
rnacentral:rRNA from 1 species